rnacentral:rRNA from 1 species
CCUACGGGAGGCAGCAGUGGGGAAUAUUGCACAAUGGGGGAAACCCUGAUGCAGCGACGCCGCGUGAGUGAAGAAGUAUUUCGGUAUGUAAAGCUCUAUCAGCAGGGAAGAAAAUGACGGUACCUGACUAAGAAGCCCCGGCUAACUACGUGCCAGCAGCCGCGGGAAUACGUAGGGGGCAAGCGUUAUCCGGAUUUACUGGGUGGAAAGGGAACGUAGACGGUGAUGCCAGUCAGAAUUGAAAGCCCGGGGCUCAACUCCGGGACUGCUUUUGAAACUGUGUGACUGGAGUGCAGGAGAGGUAAGCGGAAGUCCUGGUGUAGCGGUGAAAUGCGUAGAUAUCAGGAGGAACACCAGUGGCGAAGGCGGCUUACUGGACUGUAACUGACGUUGAGGCUCGAAAGCGUGGGGAGCAAACAGGAUUAGAUACCCCAGUAGUC